GUUUUAAUAGCUUACUUAAAGCAUAGCACUGAAAAUGCUAAGACGAGCCCAAGUUCUUUAAACA
rnacentral:tRNA from 1 species